GACUCUCAAAAAUGGAUAUCUUGGCUCUCGCCAUGAUGAAGAAUGUAGAAAAAUGUGAUACUUAGUGUGAAUUGCAGAAUCCUGUGAAUCAUCGAGUCUUUGAACGCAAGUUGCGCCCAAGGCCUCUGCCGAGGGCACGUUUGCUUGGGCGUCG